rnacentral:piRNA from 1 species
UGAUAUGGGAAAGUUCUUACUCUUUGGUGG